rnacentral:rRNA from 1 species
GACGAACGCUGGCGGCGUGCUUAACACAUGCAAGUCGAACGGAAAGGCCCUGCUUUUGUGGGGUGCUCGAGUGGCGAACGGGUGAGUAACACGUGAGUAACCUGCCCUUGACUUUGGGAUAACUUCAGGAAACUGGGGCUAAUACCGGAUAGGAGCUCCUGCUGCAUGGUGGGGGUUGGAAAGUUUCGGCGGUGUGGGAUGGACUCGCGGCUUAUCAGCUUGUUGGGGGGGUAGUGGCUUACCAAGGCUUUGACGGGUAGCCGGCCUGGGAGGGUGACCGGGCACAUUGGGACUGAGAUACGGCCCAGAAGCCUACGGGAGGCAGCAGUGGGGAAUAUUGCGCAAUGGGCGGAAGCCUGAUGCAGCAACGCCGCGUGCGGGAUGACGGGUUUCGGGUUGUAAACCGCUUUCGCCUGUGACGAAGCGUGAGUGACGGUAAUGGGUAAAGAAGCACCGGCUAACUACGUG